CGUCGAAUUAAAAAUGGAAGCAAACAUACAUUGGGACUGCUGCUAAACCCGGAUACCACAGUUUCAACAAGAGAUAUACAAAGAACAUGGAUGUCCUCAGCAAACUGGAGGUCUACAUCCCAGUGGAGGCCGAGGUAAAAUGCAUCCCUCUGCAUAGCUUACCAAAUUCAGUGCGCCGAAGAAUUGGCCUCCCCCUCUCUGACUCUAAGAGUCUCACAGACCAUCCAAAUGGCAUAUGGAUUUGUCCGGCAAUCAUAAGGAAGAAGGGCCAGAAAUCCCCCUCACACACAGACAGCAGUGUCGGAGAGAACCUCUCCUCAGCACUGGGCACAGAGGUCCGAACUAAGCCAGGCCCCUUCCGAAUGGCUUUUGUUGCAUCCAACCAUGCAGCUUACACAGUGCUGAAAGACAUUCCUGGAACAACAGCAUCACAAGCAGCACCUUUACCUCACGGCUCGGCACCACGAGUCAACCAAGAUUCUCUUGUCAUCUACCGUGGACGCAUUUACCUGUCCAUCAAGAAGCACAGUCAAAGCCAGAACCAGCGUGAACCAGGGUCGUCCUGCUCUGCUGUUUCUUCCACAUCAGACGUCUCAUCUAAAAGCCAGAAGGACCUGCCAAAAAGCAAGAAGACGCAUUCCUCAAGCAAAGUGAUGCACCAUGGGAACAAGGAGAAAGUUACACACAAAGGAGAUGCAUCUUCAUCCGUUCACAGUCAGCCCACCGUCACCGCGUCCAGCCAGUGUCACAAGGAUACAAAAGAAGAGCCAGCCUCAGAGCCCGAGGAAGAUGAAACACCAGAGCUGUGCGCCGGAGACGCCGAGGACACAGGCAUUGACAUGCAGACUGAAAGCAGAGAGGUGGAUCAGAGAAGAAUCAGCACAGAGUUUCUGGGUGCAGCCGGUACCUACACCUCAGCACAGAAGAAUUUUGACUUUAACGCACUGGAACAAGAGGAGAAGAUCGCACGACUGAGGGCCAUACUUAGGCAGGAUGAAGCCGCCGUCAAAAACCUGCCUUCUUAUAAAUAGUUCUUUGCUUACUGACAAAUGUUAGAUUAGUUUGAAAGCUUUUCACAGGCUAUUAGACUUUUCCUUACAUGUAAGUCUGAUGUCUUUGUUUCCCUGAAUGACCAAAACUGUCAUGGCAUGACAGAUGGCUUGUCUUUUUGUUAUCACCUUUUCCAGAUGGCAAACAUUUCUGUUUCAUCUACGAUGUCUAUUAGCACUACAGUCUAGACAAUGACAGAAUACAUAGUUUUUUUUCUGGUAUGUGGCAUAGGAACUAUUAAACACUGCAGCAAGCAAACACCAGGGCUACUGAAAGUGAAGGUGAUUCUCUUUAUUAUUUGCUUUUGUUUUGCCUGUUGGCUGAGCUUUCAAGCCCUCUAGCCACUGUAGUCUUACGGCUAUAGUACAUAGAACAAACCACUGUUCUUUAAGUGAAGUGAGAAUGCAAACACACACACAUGUAAGUAAUGUUUUGUCUUAACACUUGAAAGCAUCAUGGCAAAAAAGAAAAGUGUAAUAAGUAAUAAUAAUAAGUGUAAACUUGGGCGUAUAACCCAAAGAACACAGUCAAUCACAGUGGUGGCAGUAUGAUGCUGUGGGGGUGAUUCAGUGCAUCAGGACCUGGGAAAAAUCAUAAAAAAGACCUACAGAAUUACCUUUAUGAGAACAAAUUGAACCUUACUGACAUUUUUUGGGCUUUAAUCUGUGGAGGGGACUCAAGACCAGGGUCCAUGCCAUCAAAUCUGAGGGGCCUAAGAGAUUCACCAAAGAAGAAUGGACCAGGAUUCCUCUGGAGAUGUGGCUCAAACUUGUUGAUUUACAUCAAGUGACUCCAGAGUGUUAUUACACCAAAACACACACACAGCAAGCUCUUUGCAUCAGAUAGCUUCAUCAUACUGGCCUUAUUAUUUUUAACUUUUGGGAAAUAGGUUAGCUUCUGUGUACGCAGUUUAAAUUUUGUAAGCUAACUAAAUCAAACCAGUAGGUUUGGAAAUGUGUUAAAAUGACUUUUCUCCAUUAA
rnacentral:lncRNA from 1 species